rnacentral:sRNA from 1 species
GAAAUCAAUGAAAACUUAACUGACAUUGAUGGUUGAAGUUUUAACUAUCUUUCGUUGGUGCAUUAACACAGUUAUUUUUGGUUUAUCAACUAUUUUUGUCGUAAUACGCGUUUUAUUUUCAACUCUGUGCAAUGUCAAUGGAAACUUAUGAUGACAGUCAGCUGGAAGUGAUUGAACUCAAAUCCUACAGAUCUACCAAAUGUAAUAUACAGAUAUACAAGGUAUAGAACCGCUACACUUUCCAUAACUUUUACGUUUACUAUUCAACCAACAAUCAAUAUGUGAACCAAUUUUAAAUUAGCUAAACAUAAAUAUACUAGUUUAUAAA